rnacentral:tRNA from 1 species
UCCCCGGUUGGUCUGCUGGCAGGGCCCGCCUGACUUUGAAUCAGGACAAGCGACGAUGGUUCGAUUCCAUCCCGGGGAGCCA